rnacentral:rRNA from 1 species
AAACGAUUGAAGUCAGUCGUACCGACGAGAAAUCAGCUAUCUUGAGUGCGAUUUUGUGGG